rnacentral:rRNA from 1 species
GAUGAACGCUGGCGGCGUGCCUAAUACAUGCAAGUCGAGCGAACAGACGAGGAGCUUGCUCCUCUGACGUUAGCGGCGGACGGGUGAGUAACACGUGGAUAACCUACCUAUAAGACUGGGAUAACUUCGGGAAACCGGAGCUAAUACCGGAUAAUAUAUUUAACCGCAUGGUUCAAUAGUGAAAGACGGUUUUGCUGUCACUUAUAGAUGUAUCCGCGCCGCAUUAGCUAGUUGGUAAGGUAACGGCUUACCAAGGCAACGAUGCUUAGCCGACCUGAGAGGGUGAUCGGCAACACUGGAACGGGGACACGGUCCAGACUCCGACGGGAGGCAGCAGUAGGGAAUCUUCCGCAAUGGGCGAAAGCCUAACGGAGCAACGCCGCGUGAGUGAGGAAGGUCUUCGGAUCGUAAAACUCUGUUAUUAGGGAAGAACAAAUGUGUAAGUAACUAUGCACGUCUUGACGGUACCUAAUCAGAAAGCCACGGCUAACUACGUG